GAAUUACUGGGCGUAAAGCGUGCGCAGGCGGUUAUAUAAGUCAGAUGUGAAAUCCCCGGGCUCAACCUGGGAACUGCAUUUGAGACUGUAUAGAUAGAGUACGGUAGAGGGGGAUGGAAUUCCGCGUGUAGCAGUGAAAUGCGUAGAUAUGCGGAGGAACACCGUUGGCGAAGGCAAUCCCCUGGUCCUGUACUGACGCUCAUGCACGAAAGCGUGGGGAGCAAUCAGGAUUAGAUACCCUGGUAGUCCACGCCCUAAACGAUGUCAACUGGUUGUUGGGUCCUAACUGACUCAGUAACGAAGCUAACGCGUGAAGUUGACCGCCUGGGGAGUACGGCCGCAAGGUUGUAACUCAAAGGAAUUGACGGGGACCCGCACAAGCGGCGGAUGAUGUGGUUUAAUUCGAUGCAACGCGAAAAACCUUACCCACCUUUGACAUGUACGGAAGGUUCCAGAGAUGGAUUUGUGCUCGAAUGAGAACCGUAACACAGGUGCUGCAUGUCUAUCGUCAGCUCGUGUCGUGAGAUGUUGGGUUAAGU
rnacentral:rRNA from 1 species